rnacentral:rRNA from 1 species
GAUUGAACGCUGGCGGCAGGCCUAACACAUGCAAGUCGAGCGGCAGCACAGGAAGCUUGCUUCCUGGUGGCGAGCGGCGGACGGGUGAGUAAUGCAUAGAAAUCUGCCCGGUAGUGGGGGAUAACCUGGGGAAACCCAGGCUAAUACCGCAUACGUCCUACGGGAGAAAGCAGGGGAUCUUCGGACCUUGCGCUAUCGGAUGAGUCUAUGUCGGAUUAGCUUGUUGGUGAGGUAAUGGCUCACCAAGGCGACGAUCCGUAGCUGGUCUGAGAGGAUGAUCAGCCACAUCGGGACUGAGACACGGCCCGAACUCCUACGGGAGGCAGCAGUGGGGAAUAUUGGACAAUGGGCGAAAGCCUGAUCCAGCCAUGCCGCGUGUGUGAAGAAGGCCUUCGGGUUGUAAAGCACUUUCAGUGGGGAAGAAAGCCUUGGGGCUAAUACCCUCGAGGAAGGACAUCACCCACAGAAGAAGCACCGGCUAACUCCGUGCCAGCAGCCGCGGUAAUACGGAGGGUGCGAGCGUUAAUCGGAAUUACUGGGCGUAAAGCGCGCGUAGGCGGUCUGAUAAGCCGGUUGUGAAAGCCCCGGGCUCAACCUGGGAACGGCAUCCGGAACUGUCAGGCUAGAGUGCAGGAGAGGAAGGUAGAAUUCCCGGUGUAGCGGUGAAAUGCGUAGAGAUCGGGAGGAAUACCAGUGGCGAAGGCGGCCUUCUGGACUGACACUGACGCUGAGGUGCGAAAGCGUGGGUAGCAAACAGGAUUAGAUACCCUGGUAGUCCACGCCGUAAACGAUGUCGACUAGCCGUUGGGCUCCUUGAGAGCUUUGUGGCGCAGUUAACGCGAUAAGUCGACCGCCUGGGGAGUACGGCCGCAAGGUUAAAACUCAAAUGAAUUGACGGGGGCCCGCACAAGCGGUGGAGCAUGUGGUUUAAUUCGAUGCAACGCGAAGAACCUUACCUACCCUUGACAUCGUGCGAACUUUCCAGAGAUGGAUUGGUGCCUUCGGGAACGCACAGACAGGUGCUGCAUGGCUGUCGUCAGCUCGUGUUGUGAAAUGUUGGGUUAAGUCCCGUAACGAGCGCAACCCUUGUCCUUAUUUGCCAGCGAGUAAUGUCGGGAACUCUAAGGAGACUGCCGGUGACAAACCGGAGGAAGGUGGGGACGACGUCAAGUCAUCAUGGCCCUUACGGGUAGGGCUACACACGUGCUACAAUGGCCGGUACAAAGGGUUGCGAAGCCGCGAGGUGGAGCUAAUCCCGAAAAGCUGGUCUCAGUCCGGAUCGGAGUCUGCAACUCGACUCCGUGAAGUCGGAGUCGCUAGUAAUCGUGAAUCAGAAUGUCACGGUGAAUACGUUCCCGGGCCUUGUACACACCGCCCGUCACACCAUGGGAGUGGACUGCACCAGAAGUGGUUAGCCUAACUUCGGAGGGCGAUCACCACGGUGUGGUUCAUGACUGGGGUG